rnacentral:rRNA from 1 species
GACGAACGCUGGCGGCGUGCUUAACACAUGCAAGUCGAACGGUAAGGCCCUUCGGGGUAUACGAGUGGCGAACGGGUGAGUAACACGUGGGUGAUCUGCCCUGCACUUCGGGAUAAGCCUGGGAAACUGGGUCUAAUACCGGAUAGGACCACUGCCUGCAUGGGUGGUGGUGGAAAGCUUUUGCGGUGUGGGAUGGGCCCGCGGCCUAUCAGCUUGUGGGUGGGGUGAUGGCCUCCCAAGGCGACGACGGGUAGCCGGCCUGAGAGGGUGAACGGCCACACUGGGACUGAGAUACGGCCCAGACUCCUACGGGAGGCAGCAGUGGGGAAUAUUGCACAAUGGGCGCAAGCCUGAUGCAGCGACUCCGCGUGAGGGAUGACGGCCUUCGGGUUGUAAACCUCUUUCAGCACCGACGAAGCGCAAGUGACGGUAGGUGCAGAAGAAGGACCGGCCAACUACGUGCCAGCCGCCGCCGUAA